rnacentral:rRNA from 1 species
ACUCAAAGGAAUUGACGGGGACCCGCACAAGCAGUGGAGCAUGUGGUUUAAUUCGAUGCAACGCGAAGAACCUUACCCAGGUUUGACAUGCACAGGAAUAUACCAGAGAUGGUAUAGCCUUUCGGGGCCUGUGCACAGGUGCUGCAUGGCUGUCGUCAGCUCGUGCCGUGAGGUGUUUGGUUAAGUCCAGCAACGAGCGCAACCCUUAUCAUUAGUUGCCAACAUUUCGGAUGGGAACUCUAAUGAGACUGCCUAGGUUAACUAGGAGGAAGGUGAGGAUGACGUCAAGUCCGCAUGGCCCGUAUAUCUGGGGCUACACACGUGCUACAAUGGUCGGUACAGAAGGCAGCAGAGCCGCGAGGUGAAGCAAAUCCCAAAAAGCCGGCCCCAGUUCAGAUUGUAGUCUGCAACUCGACUACAUGAAGAUGGAAUUGCUAGUAAUGGCGAGUCAGCAACAUCGCCGUGAAUACGUUCCCGGGUCUUGCACACACCGCCCGU